rnacentral:rRNA from 1 species
GAUGAACGCUGGCGGCGUGCCUAAUACAUGCAAGUCGAGCGAACAGACGAGGAGCUUGCUCCUCUGACGUUAGCGGCGGACGGGUGAGUAACACGUGGAUAACCUACCUAUAAGACUGGGAUAACUUCGGGAAACCGGAGCUAAUACCGGAUAAUAUAUUGAACCGCAUGGUUCAAUAGUGAAAGACGGUUUUGCUGUCACUUAUAGAUGGAUCCGCGCCGCAUUAGCUAGUUGGUAAGGUAACGGCUUACCAAGGCAACGAUGCGUAGCCGACCUGAGAGGGUGCUCGGCCACACUGGAACUGAGACACGGUCCAGACUCCUACGGGAGGCAGCAGUAGGGAAUCUUCCGCAAUGGGCGAAAGCCUGACGGAGCAACGCCGCGUGCGUGAUGAAGGUCUUCGGAUCGUAAAACUCUGUUAUUAGGGAAGAACAAAUGUGUAAGUACCUAUGCACGUCUUGACGGUACCUAAUCAGAAAGCCACGGCUAACUACGUG